rnacentral:rRNA from 1 species
UGGGGAAUAUAGGACAAUGGGCGAAAGCCUGAUCCAGCCAUGCCGCGUGUGUGAAGAAGGUCUUCGGAUUGUAAAGCACUUUAAGUUGGGAGGAAGGGCAGUAAGCGAAUAUCUUGCUGUUUUGACGUUACCGACAGAAUAAGCACCGGCUAACUCUGUGCCAGCAGCCGCGGUAAUACAGAGGGUGCAAGCGUUAAUCGGCAUUACUGGGCGUAAAGCGCGCGUAGGUGGUUCGUUAAGUUGAAUGUGAAAGCCCCGGGCUCAACCUGGGAACUGCAUCCAAAACUGGCGAGCUAGAGUAGGGCAGAGGGUGGUGGAAUUUCCUGGGUAGCGGUGAAAGGCUUAGAUAUAGGAAGGAACACAAGUGGCGAAGGCGACCACCUGGGCUCAUACUGACACUGAGGUGCGAAAGCGUGGGGAGCAAACAGG